rnacentral:tRNA from 2 species
UCCACAGUAGCUCAGUGGUAGAGCUAUCGGCUGUUAACCGAUCGGUCGUAGGUUCGAGUCCUACCUGUGGAGUCA